rnacentral:rRNA from 1 species
GACGAACGCUGGCGGCGUGCUUAGCACAUGCAAGUCGAACGGAAAGGCCCUGCUUGCAGGGUACUCGAGUGGCGAACGGGUGAGUAACACGUGGGUGAUCUGCCCUGCACUUCGGGAUAAGCUUGGGAAACUGGGUCUAAUACCGGAUAGGAGCCAUCUUUAGUGUGGUGGUUGGAAAGUUUUUUCGGUGUAGGAUGAGCUCGCGGCCUAUCAGCUUGUUGGUGGGGUAAUGGCCUACCAAGGCGGCGACGGGUAGCCGGCCUGAGAGGGUGUACGGCCACAUUGGGACUGAGAUACGGCCCAGACUCCUACGGGAGGCAGCAGUGGGGAAUAUUGCACAAUGGGCGCAAGCCUGAUGCAGCGACGCCGCGUGGGGGAUGAAGGCCUUCGGGUUGUAAACUCCUUUCGCUAGGGACGAAGCUUUGUUGUGACGGUACCUAGAUAAGAAGCACCGGCUAACUACGUG